rnacentral:rRNA from 1 species
CUAAAAAGAGCAUACGGAGGAUGGCUAGACAGAACGUGCCGAUGAAGGACGUAGCAGCCUGCGAUAAGCUUCGGGGAGGUGGCAAGCAACCUUUGAUCCGGAGAUGUCCGAAUGGGGAAACCCGAUGCGGGGAAUGCCGCAUCGCUGUGCGCUGAAUCCAUAGGCGUACAGAGGGCACCUGGGGAAGUGAAACAUCUCAGUACCCAGAGGAAAAGAAAAAAAAAUUCCUAGGUUCUAGGUUUUAGGCCAUGAUCGCCUAAAACCUAACACCUAGAACAUUCCCUUAGUAGCGGCGAGCGAAAAGGGAACAGUCCAAACCUCGGUCGUGAAGCUACGGCAAGCACGGAGACGCAAGUUGAAGUGUGAGCGGUGGUGAAAGGUGGAAGCCGUUGUGACCGCGGGGGUUGUAAGGUGGUUACGCUUGCGUUCUUCCAAACGCAGCCGGUUCGGAUGAUAUAUAGCGGAAGCGACUGGAACGUCGCACCAAAGAAGGUGAAGGUCCUGUACGCGAAAUAUCUCAUCCAGCCGGUGUGAUCAUCCUUGAGUACUACGAGGCUCGUGAAACCUUGUAGGAACCUGCCGGGACUAUCUGGCAAGACUAAAUACACGUUCUGAUCGAUAGCGAACAAGUACCGUGAGGGAAAGCUGAAAAGCACCCCGGGAGGGGAAUGAAAUAGUAUCUGAAACCGUAUGCUUACAAGGAGUCAGAGUCCCGUUACUCUCCAAACAACAGACGUUGAGGAACCAACGUCGCAAGACGAAGUCGGCUUCGCCUUUCGACGGUUUGGUUCAGGUGUCGGUUGCUGGGAGAGUAGCGGGAUGAUGGCGUUCCUAUUGAAGAAUGAGCCAACGAGUGUGCUGCGCGUCGCUAGGUUAAGUCCUCCGGGACGGAGCCACAGUGAAAGCGAGCGUUAAUCCGCGUGAUCUUUCUUUUAACUCGACUUCCCGUGGCAGUAACCUGCCGCGCGUCGAGUUGAAAGAUAGAGGGUGGCGCGCACACGACCCGAAACCGGGUGACCUAUCCAUGUGCAGGGUGAAGCGGGUGUAACAACCCGUGGAGGCCCGAACCCACGAGCCGUGCAAAACUCGGGGAUGACAUGUGGAUAGCGGAGAAAUUCCAAUCGAACUCGGUAAUAGCUGGUUCUCCCCGAGAUAGCUUUAGGGCUAGCGUCGGUUAAUAGCGCAUUGGGGGUAGAGCACUGAAUGGGCCUUGCGGCUUCGGCUAGCGGGCCUAACCAAACUCCGAAUACCAAUGCGUGUUCCCGGCAGUCAGACCAUGGGGGCUAAGCUCCAUCGGUCGAAAGGGUAACAGCCCAGAUCUCAAACUAAGGCCCCCAAAUCGCCACUGAGUGUGAAAGGUGGUGGGAAGGCUUAUACAACCAGGAGGUUGGCUUAGAAGCAGCCACCCUUUAAAGAUAGCGUAACAGCUCACUGGUCAAGCUUUCCUGCGCCGAAAAUGUACCGGGGCUAAGUGGCGUGCCGAAGUUGAGGGUUCUCCGCCUUUGGCGGGGAGCGGUAGGGGAGCAUUCGCAUGGCACCGAAGCGGACGGGCGACCGUUCGUGGAGCGAUGCGAAGAGAGAAUGUUGGCAUGAGUAGCAAAAAGGCAGGUGAAAAUCCUGCCCGCCGUAAACCCAAGGGUUCCUGGGCAACGCGAAUCGACCCAGGGUGAGUCGGGAGCUAAGGCGAGGCCGAAAGGCGUAGUCGAUGCACAGCAGGUUAAUAUUCCUGCACUUUCUAUCACACGGAUGCGGGGACGCAUCCUGAAAUUUCCCGCGUCCUAUGGCUAUGACGUUGGGGGUGUUCUGGUGUCCGGCAGGUAAAUCCGCCGGACUGGGGUUCGACCUCGAACCCGGACAUCAUCGCAAGUCUGCCUUUACCGGCGGACAAGGGGAAAGGACAGGGUGCCAAGAAAAGCCGCUACGAUUAUGUGAUAGAAACCCGUACCGAAAACCGACACAGGUGGGUGGGUGCGAAAUGCACUAAGGCGUACGAGUGAAACAUCGUUUAGGAACUCGGCAAUACAGCGGCCGUAACUUCGGGAUAAGGCCUGGUUGCCCCCGGGAGGGGGUGACCCGCAGCGAAAGACGUCAACCGACUGUUUACCAAAAACACAGGUCCCUGCUAAACAGCAAUGUGAUGUAUAGGGACUGAUGCCUGGCCAGUGUCCGAACGUUAAGGAAGGGGGUUAGUUCCGCCGCAAGGCGGGACGAAGCUUCCGACUGAAGCGCGGAUGAACGCCGGCGAUAACUAUAGCAACGAUUGUAGUUAUAAAAUCUGACUAUUUGCGGGAAACUCUACUCAAUGUGAUUGUACUCGUCUGAACUAUCGGCAGUCACAAUCAAUCACCAGUCCAAAAGGACGGUAGACAAUCCGCAGGAAAGAUUCUUCAUUAAUGCAACAAACGAUUGAAAGAUGGUAAAGCGGAUGUGUUGCAGAAUUUGGAAGAAAAUCCUCAGAGACUAUACGUCAGACCUCGAGCAUUCCGAAAUGAAAUCUCGAAGAAGAUAUAGUCCGAUCUGCAUGGUGACAUGCAGUCUUGGUACGCUUAAACCAAGAGCUCUCACACGAGAGAAACAGGCAAGAAUCGUCCUAAGGUGGGAAAGCUGCCUUAGUGAGGCGAAAGACCUCUCAUCGAACUUUUUGAAUGCCCAAAAAGAUGUAGAUGAAAAAUCUGGCUAUAUGCUGGAACCACUGGCUUCAAACCCAGUCAAUCAGCAGGAAAGACUCGACGAGUGUUUGCUCGUUGAGAAUCCUCAGAGACUACACGCCGGAUCCCGCAGAAGGCGGGAAAGAUAUAGUCCGAUCUGCAUGGCGACAUGCAGGAGCCGAUCUCACUUCAUCGGCCCUCUAGAAUUCUAGAGAACACCAUAAGCGAAAUUCCUUGACGGGUAAGUUCCGUCCUGCACGAAUGGCAUAACGAGUUGACGACUCUCUCAACGAUGUCCUCGGCGAAAUUGCAAUGUGAGUGAAGAUGCUCACUACCCGUGGCUAGACGAAAAGACCCCAUGAAGCUUUACUACAACUUGGUCUUGGGUUCAUGCUUCGCAUGUUCAGCAUAGGUGGGAGCCUUCGGGCGCCAGUGAGAUACCACCCUUGCGCUGUGUGCAUCCUAACCAGGCGCCGUGAAACCGGUGUCAGGGACAGGAUCUGGUGGGUAGUUUACCUGGGGCGGGUGCCUCCCAAAAUGUAACGGAGGCGUUUACUAAGGUCGGCUUAGCGCGGAUGGAAAUCGCGCUGGACGUGCAAACGCAAAAGCCGGCUUUACUGCGAGACUGACACGUCGAGCAGUCGCGAAAGCGGAAGUUAGUGAUCCGACCGUACGAGAUAGGACGGCGGAAGCUCAACGGAUAAAAGCUACUCUGGGGAUAACAGGCUAGUCUCCCCCAAGCGUCCACAGCGACGGGGAGGUUCGGCACCUUAACACAUCGGGGUGCGGUAUCAGAGAUGAUACAGUCUGGAUCAAGAAAAGGGCGCGAGCCCACAACCCUUUCUUGUAAAAUCAUGGCUUAUAACGGUGGACUCCAUGGCAUGAGGCUCAUGCAUGGACAAUACCGUGGGAAGUCUGACACAACUUGAACGAUCCGUGACGUUGCAGAAUGGCAAUCGCGGCACGUCUGCCUGCAGACAAGCACGACGACCGCAGAGGGAUUCUCAACAUCCGUUCCAACCUGCAUGGAAACGAUCAAACCGUUUGUGAUUCCAUGAAGGAGUGACAAGUUGGUUAUGACCCCGUAGAGACUGUGGAAGCGCAUGCUUCCCGAGCGUUCCCAUUAUGGAAUGCUAAUACGCCAUCUCCUCCUCGCGAUUUGUUUCGUGAGAGGAUGAAGAUAUAGUCCAUCCCAUAAGUAAUUAUGGAUCCGACAGCGAUGUCGGCUCGACUAGGGUCGCUGUUCGAGUAAUCGAACAUGAAAAAAACGAGCUCAUAACGGGGGACUCCCUCUGGUCAAACGAAACCCAGAACCAAAGGGACCAUCCCGUGGGAAGUCAGCAACGAAAGAUUCUUUUCCAUUCCUCGUACACGCACAACUCCACGUUUUGAGGAGUUUGCAGGUUUGUUUUCCAAGGACAAACAAAAGCGUCUAUCAGAGGAAUGACCAAAGAGACUCAAUCCGCAAAUGUUGGCAGUGUGGAUCAUGGAUGAUGGGGACGACAGACACACAUCCAGAAACACAACAGAGCAUUUGUGCACUCUCUCCCUGGAAAUAGAUGGAACGUCUCCGUGCAUCUGUACGGCCGUUCCUGAUUCCAACCUUGAGAGUGAAAAUUGCUUGACCCCGUAACGACUGAUUCCGAAAGGAUGAGAUAAAGAAGUUCUCUUCUUUAUCACACGCUCGUCUCCUGUGCGCCAGACAGGAUGAAGGUAUAGUCUACACUACAAGUAAUUGUAGAAUUAUGUGCAUCGCAUCCUGGAGCUGUAGAAGGUUCCAAGGGUUAGGCUGUUCGCCUAUUAAAGCGGUACGCGAGCUGGGUUCAGAACGUCGUGAGACAGUAAAAACAUUAGCUACCAUUAGCUAAAAGCGACGUUUUGAUUGGAUCGUUUCGUCUAAAGAAUCAAUCGAAAGAUUGAACGACCGUGCUGUCAUUAAAUUCGGCUAAUUGCUGGAAACCCUGGUCCUCCAUCGGAGAAUGGAGGUUUCAAGGAUCUCACACUACGUGGUAAAACGCGCGAAUAAGAAACGUGAAAAUGUGUUGAGUGCAGGUAACCAGCAGGGAAGGCCUUCCGUCUGUGUCUGAACUUCAUCCAGAAUGGAUCGAAGAAUCAGACACACACGUAAGGAACCCUCAGAGACUAUACGCCGAACAUCCUCGCCGGAAGGCGGGGUAAAGAUAUAGUCCGAACUGUGUGGCGACACACAGACUCGAUAAGAAAUGAUCGAGCGCCGCAGCGCAAAACAGGAUCUGGACGCGGUUUGCAAAGUAACAGAAUUGUCGGUCUCCUAUCUGCCAUGGGCUUCGAAGAUUGAGGGAACCCUUCCUUAGUACGAGAGGACCGGGAAGGACGAACCUCUCGUGUACCGGUUGUCCCGCCAGGGGCAUUGCCGGGUAGCGACGUUCGGUGCGGAUAAACGCUGAAAGCAUCUAAGCGUGAAGCCGCUCCCAAGAUUGGUCUUCAUUUGAGACCCCUGCGAGACCAGCAGGUUGAUAGGCCAUACGUGGAAGCGCCGUAAGGCGUGGAGCGGAGUGGUACUAAUCGGUCAAGCUCUGCA